UACGGGGGGGGCAAGCGUUGUUCGGAAUUUCUGGGCGUAAAGGGCUCGUAGGCGGCCAACUAAGUCGGACGUGAAAUCCCCAGGCUCAACCUGGGAACUGCAUCCGAUACUGGAUGGCUUGAAUUCGGGAGAGGGAUGCAGAAUUCCAGGUGUAGCGGUGAAAUGCGUAGAUAUCUGGAGGAAUACCGGUGGCGAAGGCGGCAUCCUGGACCGACAUUGACGCUGAGGAGCGAAAGCCAGGGGAGCAAACGGG
rnacentral:rRNA from 1 species